CCGGGUGUGGCUCAGUUGGUAGAGCGCGUGGUUUGGGACCACGAGGCCGCUGGUUCGAAUCCAGUUACUCGGA
rnacentral:tRNA from 1 species